rnacentral:rRNA from 1 species
AGGGUUUGAUCAUGGCUCAGAACGAACGCUGGCGGCAGGCCUAACACAUGCAAGUCGAGCGAAGCCUUCGGGUUUAGCGGCGGACGGGUGAGUAACGCGUGGGAAUAUGCCCUUUGGUACGGAACAGUCCCGGGAAACUGGGUUUAAUACCGUAUGUGGUCCUUCGUAGUGGAUACGGGGGACGAAAGAUUUAUCGCCAAAGGAUUAGCCCGCGUUGGAUUAGGUAGUUGGUGGGGUAAUGGCCUACCAAGCCGACGAUCCAUAGCUGGUUUGAGAGGAUGAUCAGCCACACUGGGACUGAGACACGGCCCAGACUCCUACGGGAGGCAGCAGUGGGGAAUCUUAGACAAUGGGGGCAACCCUGAUCUAGCCAUGCCGCGUGAGUGAUGAAGGCCUUAGGGUUGUAAAGCUCUUUCAGCUGGGAAGAUAAUGACGGUACCAGCAGAAGAAGCCCCGGCUAACUCCGUGCCAGCAGCCGCGGUAAUAC